rnacentral:rRNA from 1 species
GAGUGCGUAAUAGCUCACUGGUCGAGUGAUUCUGCGCCGAAGAUUACCGGGGCUAAAACCUAACACCGAAGCUUUGGAAUGCCGAAAGGCAUUGGUAGAGGAGCAAUGCAUGCGGGAAGAAGCAUGACCGGAAGGCAAUGUGGACUGCAUGGAAGAGAGAAUGCCGGUAUGAGUAGCGAGAGUCCAGUGAGAAUCUGGGCCGUCGAAAGCCUAAGGUUUCCUGGGGAAGGUUCGUCCACCCAGGGUAAGUCGGGGCCUAAGCCGAGGACGAAAGUCGUAGGCGAUGGACAACUGGUUGAGAUUCCAGUACCACCGAUGGAAUGAAGCAGGGACGCAGAAGGAUACCCGGACCCGGUUGAUGGUAGAGCCGGGGCAAGCACAGAGUCUGGCAGGUAGUGAAGUACGCCUGCUAAGGAUGGUGUGUGACGCGGAGCGAAAAAAAGUAGCGAAGCCGGGGAUUUCACGCUGACAAGAAAAACUGCUAGGGAGCAUCAUGGUGCCUGUACCGCAAACCGACACAGGUAGGCGAGGAGAGAAUCCUAAGACGAACGGGAGAACCCUUGUUAAGGAACUCGGCAAAAUGACCCCGUAACUUCGGGAGAAGGGGUGCCUCCGAGAGGAGGCCGCAGAAAAAAGGUAGAAGCGACUGUUUACCAAAAACACAGGUCUAUGCUAAAUCGAAAGAUGACGUAUAUGGGCUGACGCCUGCCCGGUGCAGGAAGGUUAAGGGGACGUGUCAGCGCAAGCGAAGCACCGAACCGAAGCCCCUGUAAACGGCGGCCGUAACUAUAACGGUCCUAAGGUAGCGAAAUUCCUUGUCGGAUAAGUUCCGACCCGCACGAAUGGCGUAACGACUUGUACACUGUCUCAACAAGGGACCCGGCGAAAUUGUAGUAUGUGUGAAGAUGCACAUUACCCGCAACUAGACGGAAAGACCCCGUAGAGCUUUACUGCAGCUUAAUACUGAAUUUCGGUAUUGUAUGUACAGGAUAGGUGGGAGACUGAGAAGCCAGGACGUCAGUCUUGGUGGAGUCAACCUUGGGAUACCAC